rnacentral:rRNA from 1 species
CACGUAGGGCGCGAGCGUUGUCCGGAAUUAUUGGGCGUAAAGAGCUCGUAGGCGGCCUGUUGCGUCCGCUGUGAAAGCCCGGGGCUUAACCCCGGGUCGGCAGUGGAUACGGGCAGGCUAGAGGUAGGUAGGGGAGAAUGGAAUUCCCGGUGUAGCGGUGAAAUGCGCAGAUAUCGGGAGGAACACCGGUGGCGAAGGCGGUUCUCUGGGACGGUACUGACGCUGAGACGCGAAAGCGUGGGGAGCGAACAGG